GACAAUAUUUCGAAAUUCAGCGACAGGCUGAAGUCCCGGAAGUUCCAAGGCAGUGGAGGUAAGACAGUCAAGCUCAGAAGAGGCGCAACAAGUUUACUGUGCCACAAUCACAAUCAAUCGGUGUUCAAUGGCGAAGUUAUCUGAGGAAAUAGUGCCGUGCAAGCCGCGGGCAAAAGAGCCUGGAGAAUUUACCCACAGAUUGUGAUGCAAUUAAUGUUACUUAAAAAGAGGCACCGCACUCGGAAAAGUUCAGGGAUCACUUCAAGCGCAUUGUUUAUUCGAUUCUUCUGCAAACAUCUCGUGAGCGGCAGCGGGCGAGGCGAGGUCACGUGACACGUUGCGGUGCCGUCCGCCUCACCCCAGGAGCGUGCUUUAAAGACAGACCCAGGACUGGUUUUACAAUGUGUCUGAAAACCUGACUCAUCACACCGCACGAAAGCCGCUGCCAAACAGACAGGAUGAAGCUGAGAACACACCCCCUCUAGAGAGAGUGAGACAGAGAGAGAGUAAGCGUGACGCUAUCUCUGUGGUUGCGUUUUUAUUAACAACCCUGAACUUUUCAACCCCCCCCACCCCAUCGACUACAUUAGCGCCACAGCUAGACUGAAUCAUGCA